rnacentral:ncRNA from 1 species
UAUCUAUUAUAUAGAUACAGGAGUUGCACGGCUGUUUUCAGUUAAUGUUGUGAAACUGUGGUUUUUCCAUGAAAUUAACAGAAUCCUUUGCUUUAUUUAUAGAAUGUUUUAUAAAGCAAUCUUUCAAGAGAACAGAAUGGAGAAAAAGGAAAAAGACAAGUCAUCAUGGCCCUUAUGUUAUGGGCUAUAGACGUGCCACGUAGACCUCAACAAAGAGAUGCAAAAAUGUGAAUUUUAGCUAAUCUACAAAAAAGAGGAUAUAAAUUAUACAAGGAUUGUAGUCUGAAACUCGACUAUAUGAAUAAGUAAUUACUAGUAAUCGUGAAUCACCAUGUCACGGUGAAUGUUAUCUCGGAUUGGUACUAACCACUCGUCGCAUGCUGAAAGGAGAUCACGCAAUAAGUUUGCUAUUUGGUUAUAAUCUCUUUA